CCACCCCCACUGCCCAUAUACAAGAAGCCCCUGCCACCCCCACUGCCCAUAUACAAGAAGCCCCUACCACCUCCAGUGCCUAUAUACAAGAAGCCGCUACCACCUCCGGUCCCAGCGUACAAGAAACCGAUUCCACCCCCCGUGCCUAUAUACAAGAAGCCACUCCCACCUCCAGUUCCAGUAUACAAGAAGCCACUCCCACCUCCAGUUCCAGUAUACAAGAAGCCACUCCCACCUCCAGUGCCUAUAUACAAGAAGCCACUCCCACCUCCAAUUCCUAUAUACAAGAAGCCUCUCCCACCUCCAGUGCCUAUAUACAAGAAGCCGCUUCCGCCUCCAAUUCCGAUCUAUAAGAAGCCAUGUCCACCCCUCAUCCCAAAACCGCCUAUAUUCAA
rnacentral:lncRNA from 1 species